AGCACCGUUGCUACGCUACGGCUUCUUUCUCCACAGAAGAGGAACGAUGGCUGCCAUGACGCAUUGACUUGGAAAAGCGUUUCUGAGCGUCUCAUUUACAACAGUAUGGACUAGCUUGACUACCUCUUCUUCUGCUAAGAGUGCCCAAAUACCGCUCCCUCGGUGCCUGCAGGCAGCGUGAACACAGCAAUGAGGAUAAGCAAGUCCAGAGACAAAAUGUUAGGUGAAUCUGAGGGAGGGAAAGGUCACAAGAUUGACUUCUGCCAUACUGCAAAGAGCAAAGCAUAAAUGAAAAUGUGGAGUGUGAGUUCCAGUGCAGCAUAUUACCAGUUACUUAAAGACUACAGAUCUGAUCCAUCCCCUCUUCAGUAAAAGAAUGUGGCAAAAAUUCUCACAUGGCAAGCUAUGGAAGGGCAUGGAGUUCGGCUCACUGGUUUGGACUAAA